AUCACUGGGCGUAAAGGGCGCGUAGGCGGAUUAUCAAGUCUCUUGUGAAAUCUAAUGGCUUAACCAUUAAACUGCUUGGGAAACUGAUAGUCUAGAGUGAGGGAGAGGCAGAUGGAAUUGGUGGUGUAGGGGUAAAAUCCGUAGAUAUCACCAAGAAUACCCAUUGCGAAGGCGAUCUGCUGGAACUCAACUGACGCUAAGGCGCGAAAGCGUGGGGAGCAAACAGGAUUAGAUACCCUGGUAGUCCACGCCCUAAACGAUGUACACUAGUUGUUGGGAUGCUAGUCAUCUCAGUAAUGCAGCUAACGCAUUAAGUGUACCGCCUGGGGAGUACGGUCGCAAGAUUAAAACUCAAAGGAAUAGACGGGGACCCGCACAAGCGGUGGAGCAUGUGGUUUAAUUCGAAGAUACGCGAAGAACCUUACCUGGGCUUGAUAUCCUAAGAACCUUAUAGAGAUAUGAGGGUGCUAGCUUGCUAGAACUUAGAGACAGGUGCUGCACGGCUGUCGUCAGCUCGUGUCGUGAGAUGUUGGGUUAAGUCCCGCAACGAGCGCAACCCACGUAUUUAGUUGCUAACGGUUCGGCCGAGCACUCUAAAUAGACUGCCUUCGUAAGGAGGAGGAAGGUGUGGACGACGUCAAGUCAUCAUGGCCCUUAUGCCCAGGGCGACACACGUGCUACAAUGGCAUAUACAAUGAGACGCAAUACCGCGAGGUGGAGCAAAUCUAUAAAAUAUGUCCCAGUUCGGAUUGUUCUCUGCAACUCGAGAGCAUGAAGCCGGAAUCGCUAGUAAUCGUAGAUCAGCCAUGCUACGGUGAAUACGUUCCCGGGUCUUGUACUCACCGCCCGUCACACCAUGGGAGUUGAUUUCACUCGAAGCCGGAAUACUAAACUAGUACC
rnacentral:rRNA from 1 species